rnacentral:rRNA from 1 species
AUGCGUGACUAUGUGCAGGCCCAUCUCAUCUCAUCUGCUUGUUUCAAGGAAGGGGGGGCAUGCCAUGGAGAAGCUGUUGCGGCUACCUCCCCUCCCCUGCGUAGGUUAGGUGUAGGUGGUAAGCCACCGCUUCCUCUCCCCUCUCCUCUGUCCUGCUCUCUCUCUAACGCUCGAUUCGUCUCUGUAGGUUGUGUGUACAACCGUAACCAGCAAAUCAACCCCAUCUGCAGCAAAUCAGCCAGAGAAGGUGGAGGAGCAGGCACCCAGAACCAACGUGAUGAACCCAAACGUCAUGCCAUCCAAAAGGAAGGUACAGACUAA